UACGUAGGUGGCAAGCGUUGUCCGGAAUUAUUGGGCGUAAAGCGCGCGCAGGUGGUUUCUUAAGUCUGAUGUGAAAGCCCACGGCUCAACCGUGGAGGGUCAUUGGAAACUGGGGAACUUGAGUGCAGAAGAGGAAAGUGGAAUUCCAAGUGUAGCGGUGAAAUGCGUAGAGAUUUGGAGGAACACCAGUGGCGAAGGCGGCUUUCUGGUCUGUAACUGACACUGAGGCGCGAAAGCGUGGGGAGCAAACAGG
rnacentral:rRNA from 1 species